rnacentral:miRNA from 1 species
GCGAGUUUCUCUCUCUCUCUCUCUCUUUCUCUCUCUCUCUCUCUCACACACACACACACACAUACACACACACACAGAGAGAGAGAGAGAGAGAGAGAGAGAGAGAGAGAGAGAGAGAAUUGUUUU